GGAGAGACUCCAUACUGAUCACAACUCCACGGUGUGCUUGGGACUGGCCCUGGAGUGCGUGACCAUGGCCUCUAGCUGCAACUUAUUGCUGCAGGGAGGAAUUGGUACCUGUUACCAAAAUCUUUGGCCGCAAAGUGAACUUCAUCAAAGGUGAAAUGACCAUCAAGGGGAAGUGAUUUUAAUGUAGAAGGGAUGCUUGAAAGACAAAGAAGAGAGGGGAGGCAAAGGUGGAAGGAGUUUUAAUGCUAUAGCUUUUGUUUCUUUGUGAGCAAAAGCAAAGGAGAGGUUUGGAAGAGCCAAGGAAGUGAAGGGUUAAGGAGAGAAUUUAUAGGGGAAGGUUUGGGUGGCUAAUAAGUCAACCUAUCUUCAGUUGUUAGAAUCCGUAUGAAGACUGCCUACUUGGGUGGAAGAGUUUUAGGAUUUUCUUUUAGUUCUCCCUUCAAAGCUGUUUUCUUUAUAAGAGAAGCCAUCACACAUAUGCCAAAUUGGAGAGGAAAGUUACAAGAAAGAAAGAUUGCACGAAUCUUUGCACUUUUUCUAACAGUUGCAAACAUAACCCCACCUUUACCAUCAAGGACAACACGUCUCAAAACAUAUAUAUUUUGUUUUUCUUAAACCAAAUUAAGGAUAUUUUUCCCUUAUUUAGAAAAAAGUAGCCCCUUUGCCAUAAGGCGUAUUUUCCUGCCUAUAAUGAACGUACACACCAUAUCCGUGUCUUACUCAUAUAAAUGAUGAGUAUGUUCUUCCUGAAUCUAUUGUUGUCGGAAUUUUAACGUCGCAUAUCUUCUUUCAGAUCAGAUGAGAGAGACUAGCUGGGGCUAGCCUUGAUUCAUUUCAGAGGUAUAGAGAUGGACCAGUGGGGUAUUAAGGGUCCACAGGGCACGUGAACAUUCAAAUGGAUGUGUGCUUGUGGGGGGAAGGAAGACGAUUGGUUAUGUUGGGGACCUUUUGGGGCCACUGUGAUGGGCUAAGGUGGAGAGAUUGAACAUGGGGAUGAUAGCAUAGAGGAAGCACUGAAAGAUUUCUCGUUUGCCUAUUUGCUGGUAUUGUUUUGAUGCCUUGGUUCCCAUCAAUCGGACAAGCUUGAAGGAUUCUCUUUGUUUAUAUGUUUUGUAUGCAAUUAAAUUUACUUUAGUGCAUAUUUUACUUUCCCACUUUUUGUUGCAAGUUGUCUAAGAGCACCCAAUGGGAAAUCUGCAAAUCCAAAGGGAAGCAUCUCCCCCAUAUCUCUUUUUAUGGCUAUAUUAAUCUGUCACCUCCAAUGGUAGGCAAUAGGCAUCAAUGCUUGUAUAAUUCUUGUGUUCUUGAAAGUAGAACAAUGUCCUGUGUAGUUUUUGCAUGUGGUCCUCAAGAUAGUAUAAAUCACUUGGCACUGUA